rnacentral:rRNA from 1 species
AGCCAGACUCCUACGGGAGGCAGCAGUGGGGAAUAUUGCACAAUGGGGGAAACCCUGAUGCAGCGACGCCGCGUGAGCGAUGAAGUAUUUCGGUAUGUAAAGCUCUAUCAGCAGGGAAGAAAAUGACGGUACCUGACUAAGAAGCCCCGGCUAACUACGUGCCAGCAGCCGCGGUAAUACGUAGGGGGCAAGCGUUAUCCGGAUUUACUGGGUGUAAAGGGAGCGUAGACGGUCCUGCAAGCCAGAUGUGAAAGCCCGGGGCUCAACCCCGGGACUGCAUUUGGAACUGUGUGGCUGGAGUGUCGGAGAGGCAGGCGGAAUUCCUAGUGUAGCGGUGAAAUGCGUAGAUAUUAGGAGGAACACCAGUGGCGAAGGCGGCCUGCUGGACGAUGACUGACGUUGAGGCUCGAAAGCGUGGGGAGCAAACAGGAUUAGAUACCCCCGUACC